rnacentral:miRNA from 1 species
AAAACGGGUAUAGCCGAACGGCUAUACUAUUUUUUUUUAAAUUAAAAAAAUCUGGUAUAGCCGUCCGGCUAUACUAUUUUU